AACCUAGCACACCUGCGGUGUGUACCUGCGGAGGGAUCAUUACAGAGUUGCAAGACUCCCUAAACCAUUGUGAACCUACCUUCUACCGUUGCUUCGGCGGGCGGGCCCAGCGCCCCCCCGGCCCCCCGCGGGCGCCCGCCGGAGGAUACCCAAACUCUUGACAUUAGUGGCCUCUCUGAGUAUUCUUUACUGAAUAAGUCAAAACUUUCAACAAUGGAUCU
rnacentral:misc_RNA from 1 species